rnacentral:lncRNA from 1 species
GGGGGUCUUCUCUCUUGGCUUUGGAGCUCCCCAUUCCUCUGUGUCUGUAACAGGGGAGCUUCUUCCUUCUUUCUUCUCCCUUCUUUCUUGCCUGUUAAACUCUCUGCUUCUUAAAACCACUCCAUGUAUGUCCAGGUCAUUUUAUCUAAUUUGGAGACGGAGAACCCUGGUGUUCCUCUGCUCAUCAGAGCCGUCUCACCUGCAAGGGCCAGGAUCCAGCACUAGGGCUGCCCUUUAUGUUCAUGCAGCCUCCACUAGGAAGAUCCUCCUUAGCUGCCACCUGCUGUAAAGGGAUCUAUCUAUCUAUCUGUCUAUCUAUCUAUCUAUCUAUCUUUCUAUCUACCUGUCGAGAGAGAGAGAGGUUUAUUAUAAGGAAUUGACUCAUGUGAUUAUGGAGGCUGAGAAGUUCCACAGUCUGCUGUCUGCAAGCUGGAGACCCAGGAAGGCUGCUGGUGCCGUUCCAGUUUGAUUCUGAAGGCCUGAGAACCAGAACUGAUGCUCAACAUUGGAAUCCCUGCUCUUUCACUGCACACACUGACCACCCACUGCAGGCUGGGGGUCCUAGAGGAUUUCACGUGCUAGGCUGUCCCAAAUAGAGGAGGUCCUGCUACAGCACCGGCACCAUUAGUCCUUUCUGGGCCGUGCUCUGUGAGCCCUUGAGAGGACAAGAAACCAAUGUCAAAGCCAUGGAAUGAUCCCAUUCAAUUCUCAUCAAGGAAUAGAGAAGACAUAAAAUUCAGCAAAUGGAGGAGCCCACUCAACAUGAAGAUGACAAGGAUGAAGACCUUUAUGAUGAUCCAUUCCCACUUACUGAAUAAUAUCAAGCAUUUUAUUCAACUAUGGAAUGGAAGCAACAGAUUACAGCAGCAUUAACAAGACCUGGGAUACCAUCACCAAUCAAAAUCAUGGAUAUUUCAUAGCACAAGAACGUUGUUUCAGAAUCUCAAAGUACUCCUCCUACUCAACAUGACUUUGAAAUUGCAAUAGUUGUUAGAACGGUCACUGCAGUUUGAUAUAUGAUGUGUUUACAAAGAGGCACAUAUAUUGCUCUUUCAGAAUUAUAACUCUGUAUGCAUUUCAAUGUAAUUGGUUUCCUUUGUCAUCUUCUGAAUUUUAUGUAUUUAAAAAUAUUAUUCUGAUGUUAAUACACAACAAAGAAAGGAUAGAAUUUUCAAUAAAUGGUGUUGGGGAAAUUGGAUAUCCAUAUACAAAAAAUAAAAAUAAAAUUGGAUUCUUAUCUUAAACCCUA